rnacentral:rRNA from 1 species
CGGACGGGUGAGUAACGCGUAGGAACCUGACGCGCAGUGGGGGAUAACGCUGGGAAACCGGCGCUAAUACCGCAUGUGGUCGCAAGAAGAAAGCAGCAAUGCGCUGUGUGAGGGGCCUGCGUCCGAUUAGCUAGUUGGUGGGGUAAAGGCGUACCAAGGCACCGAUCGGUAGCUGGUCUGAGAGGAUGAUCAGCCACACUGGGACUGAGACACGGCCCAG